ACUUCACCGAGCAGGCUCUAUAAAAAGGGCAUACUUGAUGUUGAAGGAGCAAGAGAGCUACCACGCCUACAUGCAGCCUGGAGUUCAGUAGGAGUAGGGAGCAAGCUCUACACAAUUUUUUCUGAAGGAUUCGUCAUGGCUCAAGUAACUUUAAAUUAUGCAAGGAUUCUAAUGAAAAUUGUGGAUCAGCUCGGUCUUGAGAAACCAACAAUGGCACACGAGAAAAGUGCGGAUGGGAUAUUCCAUUCCUUUAUUGAAGUGGAUCUUGUAAACUGGGUGUCUAAAGGAUUCCGAGGUCCAAGACAAUUUAUAGGAACAUCACCUAUCUCUUCAAGAAGAGCUACGAGAAAAGCAACUCGUAACGCUGUCCAAAGGCUAGAAAAAUGUGGCCUUGUUAAGAUUAGUGAUUACAGCCGGCGUGAUUUGAAAUUAUGGAAGAAGAGAGUCAUAAGGGUUACUACAGUAUGCAAGGAAGUUGUGGAAGGUAGAGAUGAGCUUGAGAGAGAUUUCUUCUUUUUGCAACAAAACCGUGCUAAGUUACUUGUAGAGAACUGUGAGCUGCAGAGGAAAAUUGUUGAGUUGCAAGAGAACGUAGAUUGCUGGAAGGCAGAUAAGGAAGAGAAAGAUAAUCUCAUCAUCGAGAACUAUGAGUUAAAGGCAGAACUGCGUGCUCUAAAAAGACAACUUUCAGAAGCCAAGAAUAAGAACGAAUAA
rnacentral:lncRNA from 1 species